CUGGAACCAAAAUUAUAAAACCCUUUUGGUUUUUGGUUGCCGGUUGAGAGUGAGAAGUUCAAGUGAAGAUGGGAGUGGCAAGCAAAGCAGGAGAUUUGAUAUUCAAAGCGUUCACAGCUGGUCUUGGUGUUGCCACCAUUUAUCUCACCGCUACUUUCUCUGUUAAUGUCUACAGAGGCCUCGCUUGGCAUAACGCUCAAUCGAAACCUGAGAAGCCGGACUCCAGUGAGUAAUCCCCUUGAGUCUGUGCUGCAAUCCGAGGUUGAAAGAUGUUACAUGUUUUCCCUCAUGAAAUUAAAAUGUAUACUUUAAGCAUAUCUUCAAUUUUUCCUUUCACUCAGGUAUGAGAUUCAGUUUCUAAAACCAUAGAGUUCUCAGUUAUUGAAAAUGUAUUAACUUUAAAUUUUAAAUGAUUUCAUUCGAGUAUUUAUCUGCUAUUCUAUUGCCCCAUGUUGGGAAUGUAAUGCUACUGGAUGUUGCAAUAAAACUGAGGAAUAUCCAUUUUUGAGAUUAA